rnacentral:lncRNA from 1 species
AGUUUCAGUUUCACAAGAUGAAAAGAGUUACAGAGAUGGUUGGUGGUGAUGGUUGCACAGCAUUACGCAUGCUGUUAAUACCACUGAGCUGUGCACUUGAGGAUGACUAAGCUGGGAAAUUUUACUGUAAGCAUUUUGUCACAUUAAAAAAUUGGGAGAAAAACUUUCAUCAUAAUGAACAUGCACUAUUAAAGUCUGCUUUUUUUAGGACAGAGAAGCAUAUCCCUGUUUCUCCUUGGAGGGCAGCGUGUAAUCUAAACGGAAGCCCACAGAGAAGAAGGUACAGGCCCAGCACGAUGCUCCUGGCUAAAGAAAGGACCAGAAUAUGUGGAAGAACCUGGAUGCAGGUAACAAAAGAAACCUUUCUAUGGUGCCCAGGAAGAAUACAUGACAAGUUCCAUUCUGUACUUGGACGCUCACCGCCUGGCUGAGUUAGGCACUAGAUAAGUAUUAGUGGCUCUUGCUAUGCAAAUGUGCGGUUUCCAUUUGAAAAAAUAUCCCGCUAUCUAUGCAUAUUUAC